rnacentral:rRNA from 1 species
AGUGAACGCUGGCGGUAGGCCUAACACAUGCAAGUCGAACGGCAGCACAGUAAGAGCUUGCUCUUACGGGUGGCGAGUGGCGGACGGGUGAGGAAUACAUCGGAAUCUACUUUUUCGUGGGGGAUAACGUAGGGAAACUUACGCUAAUACCGCAUACGACUUACGGGUGAAAGCAGGGGAUCUUCGGACCUUGCGCGAUUGAAUGAGCCGAUGUCGGAUUAGCUAGUUGGCGGGGUAAAGGCCCACCAAGGCGACGAUCCGUAGCUGGUCUGAGAGGAUGAUCAGCCACACUGGAACUGAGACACGGUCCAGACUCCUACGGGAGGCAGCAGUGGGGAAUAUUGGACAAUGGGCGCAAGCCUGAUCCAGCCAUACCGCGUGGGUGAAGAAGGCCUUCGGGUUGUAAAGCCCUUUUGUUGGGAAAGAAAAGCAGCAGGUGAAUACCCCGCUGUUCUGACGGUACCCAAAGAAUAAGCACCGGCUAACUUCGUG